CGUGUUACUAUGGUUCCAUUUUACAGAUGAGUACAUUGAGGUUUGGCGAGUCCGGCCCAGAAGGAUGUCCGCGGCCGCUCUCCUGGGAGUUGCUCAAACGCAGACGUGCCCGAACGCCCACCAGCAUGGAUAAAUUGCUCACUGUGUGUUCACAGAGUGGAAUCCUCCGCAGCCGUGAAGACGGGUCCCGAGCCGGAAACCAACAUGGGUGAAAGAAGCCGGACGUGAAGGAAUACACGCGCUGAAUGAUUCCAUCCUAGGACAGACCGGAACAGACAAAACUAGGAUACUGUCCGAGGGCCGGGUCCAACCAUCCUUUAAUGGAGACGGGAGGUGAAGAUCCGUUUGCCAGCCAGUCUCCGGCAUCUAAGCUGCGGCUUUCCCCAGACAGGGAUGUGCCUCCGGAUGGAGUCAUUUCUCCGGACCCCUUCACCGGCCCCCACCUGCUGCUCUGGAGGGAGAGAGGCCUUGGCAGGCGCCCAGCAGGCCCCUCGCUCGGUGCAGAGGACCUGAAAGGCCGUGCCAGCCCCAAGGCUUUCCCAGAGGAAACCUCGCCCCCG